UGGAAAGGCAGGCUUCGGCCUGCCUUUCCUGUUGCCCGAGACAGGACUUCCAACGUGCGGGGGGGCAACGGAAGUCCAUCUCGUCGUCUCAACCGGGAUUGAUCACGAUUGGUUCCACUCUGUCAAUCGUAGUUAUCUAAAAUAGUGAUUGCCCCACAGCAACGUGGCUGGACGGUAAAUUUUCCAUAAA
rnacentral:ncRNA from 15 species